GGGUUGUGAGGUUAAGCGACUAAGCGUACACGGUGGAUGCCCUGGCAGUCAGAGGCGAUGAAGGACGUGCUAAUCUGCGAUAAGCGUCGGUAAGGUGAUAUGAACCGUUAUAACCGGCGAUUUCCGAAUGGGGAAACCCAGUGUGUUUCGACACACUAUCAUUAACUGAAUCCAUAGGUUAAUGAGGCGAACCGGGGGAACUGAAACAUCUAAGUACCCCGAGGAAAAGAAAUCAACCGAGAUUCCCCCAGUAGCGGCGAGCGAACGGGGAGCAGCCCAGAGCCUGAAUCAGUGUGUGUGUUAGUGGAAGCGUCUGGAAAGGCGCGCGAUACAGGGUGACAGCCCCGUACACAAAAAUGCACAUGCUGUGAGCUCGAUGAGUAGGGCGGGACACGUGGUAUCCUGUCUGAAUAUGGGGGGACCAUCCUCCAAGGCUAAAUACUCCUGACUGACCGAUAGUGAACCAGUACCGUGAGGGAAAGGCGAAAAGAACCCCGGCGAGGGGAGUGAAAAAGAACCUGAAACCGUGUACGUACAAGCAGUGGGAGCACGCUUAGGCGUGUGACUGCGUACCUUUUGUAUAAUGGGUCAGCGACUUAUAUUCUGUAGCAAGGUUAACCGAAUAGGGGAGCCGAAGGGAAACCGAGUCUUAACUGGGCGUUAAGUUGCAGGGUAUAGACCCGAAACCCGGUGAUCUAGCCAUGGGCAGGUUGAAGGUUGGGUAACACUAACUGGAGGACCGAACCGACUAAUGUUGAAAAAUUAGCGGAUGACUUGUGGCUGGGGGUGAAAGGCCAAUCAAACCGGGAGAUAGCUGGUUCUCCCCGAAAGCUAUUUAGGUAGCGCCUCGUGAACUCAUCUCCGGGGGUAGAGCACUGUUUCGGCAAGGGGGUCAUCCCGACUUACCAACCCGAUGCAAACUGCGAAUACCGGAGAAUGUUAUCACGGGAGACACACGGCGGGUGCUAACGUCCGUCGUGAAGAGGGAAACAACCCAGACCGCCAGCUAAGGUCCCAAAGUCAUGGUUAAGUGGGAAACGAUGUGGGAAGGCCCAGACAGCCAGGAUGUUGGCUUAGAAGCAGCCAUCAUUUAAAGAAAGCGUAAUAGCUCACUGGUCGAGUCGGCCUGCGCGGAAGAUGUAACGGGGCUAAACCAUGCACCGAAGCUGCGGCAGCGACGCUUAUGCGUUGUUGGGUAGGGGAGCGUUCUGUAAGCCUGUGAAGGUGUGCUGUGAGGCAUGCUGGAGGUAUCAGAAGUGCGAAUGCUGACAUAAGUAACGAUAAAGCGGGUGAAAAGCCCGCUCGCCGGAAGACCAAGGGUUCCUGUCCAACGUUAAUCGGGGCAGGGUGAGUCGACCCCUAAGGCGAGGCCGAAAGGCGUAGUCGAUGGGAAACAGGUUAAUAUUCCUGUACUUGGUGUUACUGCGAAGGGGGGACGGAGAAGGCUAUGUUGGCCGGGCGACGGUUGUCCCGGUUUAAGCGUGUAGGCUGGUUUUCCAGGCAAAUCCGGAAAAUCAAGGCUGAGGCGUGAUGACGAGGCACUACGGUGCUGAAGCAACAAAUGCCCUGCUUCCAGGAAAAGCCUCUAAGCAUCAGGUAACAUCAAAUCGUACCCCAAACCGACACAGGUGGUCAGGUAGAGAAUACCAAGGCGCUUGAGAGAACUCGGGUGAAGGAACUAGGCAAAAUGGUGCCGUAACUUCGGGAGAAGGCACGCUGAUAUGUAGGUGAAGCGACUUGCUCGUGGAGCUGAAAUCAGUCGAAGAUACCAGCUGGCUGCAACUGUUUAUUAAAAACACAGCACUGUGCAAACACGAAAGUGGACGUAUACGGUGUGACGCCUGCCCGGUGCCGGAAGGUUAAUUGAUGGGGUUAGCGCAAGCGAAGCUCUUGAUCGAAGCCCCGGUAAACGGCGGCCGUAACUAUAACGGUCCUAAGGUAGCGAAAUUCCUUGUCGGGUAAGUUCCGACCUGCACGAAUGGCGUAAUGAUGGCCAGGCUGUCUCCACCCGAGACUCAGUGAAAUUGAACUCGCUGUGAAGAUGCAGUGUACCCGCGGCAAGACGGAAAGACCCCGUGAACCUUUACUAUAGCUUGACACUGAACAUUGAGCCUUGAUGUGUAGGAUAGGUGGGAGGCUUUGAAGUGUGGACGCCAGUCUGCAUGGAGCCGACCUUGAAAUACCACCCUUUAAUGUUUGAUGUUCUAACGUUGACCCGUAAUCCGGGUUGCGGACAGUGUCUGGUGGGUAGUUUGACUGGGGCGGUCUCCUCCUAAAGAGUAACGGAGGAGCACGAAGGUUGGCUAAUCCUGGUCGGACAUCAGGAGGUUAGUGCAAUGGCAUAAGCCAGCUUGACUGCGAGCGUGACGGCGCGAGCAGGUGCGAAAGCAGGUCAUAGUGAUCCGGUGGUUCUGAAUGGAAGGGCCAUCGCUCAACGGAUAAAAGGUACUCCGGGGAUAACAGGCUGAUACCGCCCAAGAGUUCAUAUCGACGGCGGUGUUUGGCACCUCGAUGUCGGCUCAUCACAUCCUGGGGCUGAAGUAGGUCCCAAGGGUAUGGCUGUUCGCCAUUUAAAGUGGUACGCGAGCUGGGUUUAGAACGUCGUGAGACAGUUCGGUCCCUAUCUGCCGUGGGCGCUGGAGAACUGAGGGGGGCUGCUCCUAGUACGAGAGGACCGGAGUGGACGCAUCACUGGUGUUCGGGUUGUCAUGCCAAUGGCACUGCCCGGUAGCUAAAUGCGGAAGAGAUAAGUGCUGAAAGCAUCUAAGCACGAAACUUGCCCCGAGAUGAGUUCUCCCUGAC
rnacentral:rRNA from 1 species